UGAUGCCCAGGCCAAUGUUGUGACAUGAACCUCAGUGUCAGGGAGGUGACAUGUUAAUGCUGCUGCUAUCAGACAGUGCCCACACACUGUGUCUGGAGACAGCUCAGGAGAAGAUGAAGAAAUCCAGGAUUAAAUCCCAUGUGCUUCUGAACUCUAUCAGAAACUGCUUGGAGUGAAGUCUGUGGAGUGACUUGGGAGGGCUGGACAGAAGGCACAGCUCUGAGACGUGCGUGGUACAUCAGUGACGUCCUAAUAAUGGUCUUUGCACAGGGAUGAAAAAGUAUCAGUUUGCAUGGCCUGAAUGUCUGGGUCUGGAAAUUCUGCAUGUUGCACGAGCUGUGCUGAGCUCAUUUGGCUCUGAAAUUUCAUCUCUGCACCUUAGGCAGGAACGACAUCAGAGUCCUGAAAUGAUUAAUAAAAAUCAGUCAUAACCCAGAAGCAAAUCUUGGCAAUACAUGUCUGUGGCAGGUUUGGCUGUUUGAAAGGAAGCUUGGCA